AACGAACGCUGGCGGCAUGCCUAACACAUGCAAGUCGAACGAAGCCUUCGGGCUUAGUGGCGCACGGGUGCGUAACACGUGGGAAUCUGCCCUUCGGUUCGGAAUAACAGUUAGAAAUGACUGCUAAUACCGGAUGAUGACGUAAGUCCAAAGAUUUAUCGCCGAAGGAUGAGCCCGCGUAGGAUUAGGUAGUUGGUAGGGUAAUGGCCUACCAAGCCGACGAUCCUUAGCUGGUCUGAGAGGAUGAUCAGCCACACUGGGACUGAGACACGGCCCAGACUCCUACGGGAGGCAGCAGUGGGGAAUAUUGGACAAUGGGCGAAAGACCUGAUCCAGCAAUGCCGCGUGAGUGAUGAAGG
rnacentral:rRNA from 1 species